UAACCUGCCAAGAGAUCGGGAUAACACCUGGAAACAGAUGCUAAUACCGGAUAACAACAGAUGAUGCCUAUCAACNGUUUAAAGAUGGUUCUGCUAUCACUCUUGGAUGGACCUGCGGUGCAUUAGCUAGUUGGUAGGGUAACGGCCUACCAAGGCGAUGAUGCAUAGCCGAGUUGAGAGACUGAUCGGCCACAUUGGGACUGAGACACGGCCCAAACUCCUACGGGAGGCAGCAGGG
rnacentral:rRNA from 1 species